rnacentral:rRNA from 1 species
AGAGUUUGAUCCUGGCUCAGAAUGAACGCUGGCGGCGUGCUUAACACAUGCAAGUCGAACGAGAAAGCUUUAGCUUGCUAGAGCGAGUAAAGUGGCGCACGGGUGAGUAACGCGUGGGUAAUCUACCCUUGAAUUUGGGAUAACACUUCGAAAGGGGUGCUAAUACCGGAUAACAUCUUUUUUGCUGAGGCAGGAAAGAUCAAAGAUAGCCUCUUCUUGAAAGCUAUUGUUUGAGGAUGAGCCCGCGUACCAUUAGCUUGUUGGUGGGGUAAAGGCCUACCAAGGCGACGAUGGUUAGCUGGUCUGAGAGGAUGAUCAGCCACACUGGAACUGGAACACGGUCCAGACUCCUACGGGAGGCAGCAGUGAGGAAUUUUGCGCAAUGGGGGAAACCCUGACGCAGCAACGCCGCGUGAGUGAUGAAGGAUUUCGGUUCGUAAAGCUCUGUCAAGUGGGAAGAAGUUAUCAUAAGUUAAUAGCUUAUGGUAUUGACGUACCACUGAAGAAGCACCGCUAACU